rnacentral:rRNA from 1 species
GACAGAGGCCUCAAGCGUUAGGCGGAAUCACUGGGCUUAAAGCGUGUGUAGGCGGGUCGUUAAGUACCUUGUGAAAUCCCACGGCUCACCCGUGGAACUGCUGGGUAUACUGGCGAUCUUGGGCCAACUAGGGGCAACUGGAACAAGCGGUGGAGCGGUGAAAUGCGUAGAUAUCGCUUGGAACGCCAAAGGUGAAAACAGGUUGCUGGGGUUGUGCCGA